CCAGGCGGGGGAAGCCAAAGUGUCCUUUCGAAACGAGGGGAUCUACCAAAGCAAUCAGCUGACUUCGGUUUUCAUCCCAAAGCAAUCCACUUAAGCUCGAAUGUCUGCCCCCAAUCUCAGGUACAGCAAAGAGAGAGAGAGAAGAAAGAGAGACGAUAUAUAGUUGCAGCGAGUCUGAGGAACGCGAGUAGGAUGAGCUCGAGUGGUAAAACUGGCGAGAGAGCAACUGGUGGUCUCCAAUGCUAUGGCCGCUCAGAAGCCCCCCAGCCCCAGGAUAGAGCCAAUCCGGUCAGGCGGGCCUCCGGUGGCGCCGCCGACCGUCCGGCGAAGGCUUUGGCUAUUGAUGAGAAGCUGAAGAGGAGGAGAGCAGAGAAGGCAGAGAAUGUCCUGCACCUCAUCUGUUGGGGUCCCAAGUGAGCUUGUGGUUGAUUUGCGUCACGCUUCUAAAUCUAAAUGAGAGGAGACCAGUUGCGAGGUAUCCAAAAGGGUGGGAAUUAAGCAUAGCCUCUCAUGGGUAAUCCUGAACUCAUAUAUUUGUUUAGCUUGUACUUUUCGUUCUCCCUUUAUUGAUAGACUCCAUCAAUGCUUGUACGCUAACAUCUUGUAAUCAGCCUAAGCUAUUUCAUCAACCCUGGAACAAAGAUAUCAAAUAUUUGGCAUCCACUAAUAACAACUAUUUUGAAAUUCGGGCUUCUGAUCAUGAAGCCUGCACCAUCUCUGUAAUUUUUUUUUCCAACAAAAAUAAUAAUAAAAAAA
rnacentral:lncRNA from 1 species